GACGAACGCUGGCGGCGUGCUUAACACAUGCAAGUCGAACGGGGUUCAAUCAUUCGCAAGAAUGAGGAAGACCUAGUGGCGAACGGGUGCGUAACACAUGAGGAACCUACCCCGGACUCUGGAAUAACAGGUGGAAACACUUGCUAAUACCGGAUGCCGUUGGAUCAUCACAUGACGAUCGAACGAAAGAUUUAUCGGUUUGGGAGGGCCUCGUGGCCUAUCAGCUUGUUGGCGAGGUAACGGCUCACCAAGGCUUCGACGGGUAGCUGGUCUGAGAGGAUGAUCAGCCACACUGGGACUGAGACACGGCCCAGACUCCUACGGGUGGCAG
rnacentral:rRNA from 1 species